GCAUACGUUUUGACAAUUUCAAUUGAUGCGUGUGCGGAAACUUUCGCUGCUGUAAUCAUUCGUUUCGCGUAUGGAACGAAAGUAUUUCAUGUACGCCGGGCUCACAAAAUAAUAAUUUACAUCGAGUGUUUUACGCGAUAAUUCUGGGUGCUUUAAUUUUUAAAUAUAUAUAUCCUCUUUACGUAUAUGUAUCCACUUCUUAGCCUUCGAUCGUUAACGUUUCGCGAGUGAGUCACACACGAUUUGAUUUGUUUUGGUCGACACAUAUCGUCAAGAUUUCGUUUCUUCCGUGAACAUAUACCUGUCUCAACAUCACGCAAUUACUCACACAUCGUUAUUUUUUUGGCAAUCUCGUUUCGUUCGCGUUUCUCCCGGCCUUGAAACCAUUGACAUUUUUUUCAUCGCUUCUAUUGAUAAAAUAAUACACCAGUCCAUCGACGAUCAAGAAAGUUAUGGUGUCUGAAGCGCCUGAGUGAUUAUUUCGCAACCGAUCGUAACAAAAGUUCAAUUUUCUGCUUCGUUCACCCCCUCGAUGUUUGACACUCUCUGUACACGGAAAUGAAAGUUUGUUUCCAAAUGCGAUUAUGAAAUACGUCUGAGCCCACGAAAUUUGUCCCAUUCCAAAUCUUUUAACGAUUCUUUGGCCUCGAUACUAAAAAUUUAUCAAACCCCCUUCAAAAUGAUGGAAGUCGAAGUGCCAGAAUUCAAAUCCAAAGAUGACGAAAUCCAGUAUUGGAUGAAUCUUGCCCAAGAAAUGUACCAGCGGAAGGACGAUGUUGAAAGAGAAUUGGAAGAAUUUCAAGAAAAUUCGCAGAUGUUGGAAAAAGAGUUGGAAAAUUCAUUGGAACAAGCAGAGAAAUUAAACAGAGAUCUGAGGCAGAGAAAUGCCAGAUUAUCUUCAGAAGUCGAUCAAUUGAGAUCCAGGCUGGAUCAACAAACUUCAGAUUGUUCAGUAUUUCAGAACAGAGCGCAAGAGUUGGAAGGCCAGCACGAAGCGUUAUUGAAGUAUAUUAGAGAACUAGAGCAGAAAAAUGACGAUUUAGAAAGAGCCCAAAGAAUAAAUAUAGCAACGGAGGAGGAAAUAGAAGCCAAAUUCAAUUCCGCGAUUGAAAAGAAUGCUUUGUUGGAAUCCGAGCUUGACGAAAAAGAGAGCCUAAAAAUGAUUGUUCAAAGAUUAAUGGACGAGAUUAGAGAUUUGAAACAAGAAAUAAAUGUUUUGAAACGACAUCAUCCUGACAACGAUAAAUCAGCAGCGGAGAGAGUUCGGAGUCUCAUAGACAGCAAUAAGCUUCAGGUUGAGUUGGAAUCGCACGCUUCACCGGCAAUCAGUCCAUUGCCGCAGAGCAUACCUCCCAUGGUGCACAACCCUUCUCAACCGCUCAAAAUUGGGAACGGAGUUGUGGGGGGUGUGAUCGGCAACAACAAUAACAACAACAACAUGAACGUGCCACUCACGCCAUCGACAAGGAUACUCGCGAUGAACAUGAUCGGAGACCUCAUGAGAAAAGUCGGCCUUGACAGGUGGGUCUGCAUGGACUGUAGGAGGGUCAAGUGUUCGUGUCCGGGUGGGCGAAAGACCGCUGACAGCGGAUCUCGCAUUCCGGUAUCACCUUCGGUUCAAUGUAUUAGCCAACAACCCAAGCCAACCAAGUGCUGACACAGAGACUCCAAACCCUCGACAAAUGAUUCCUCGUUGUUCCCGCUCGUCUCUUUUUUAAAAAUCAGGCUUUGGAGAAUAAACUGAACGCUCGUCGCAAUGCGUCACGAGAGGAACAAGCUGUACGGGAUUUGUACAGGACUAGAAGACAAGUGAGAGG
rnacentral:misc_RNA from 1 species